UCAUCAACUUCCUUACGCCUUGGAUGGAUUUUUACUUUGGAUAAAAUUUGCAAAUGUCAGGUACCGAUGACUUUGAAGUGGCCAAAUCCUGGGUAGGAAACUGUCGAGAGGUGUCUCCCAUCUGAAGAAAACCAGAAUAUUUUGUCGCCCAAUAUUAGUGGAAAAUCCUCAUUUUCUGUGCAAAAACCAGCUGCAAGAUCAUUGAUGG